rnacentral:lncRNA from 1 species
CUUGGCCCCAUAGGGGGUGUGGGGGGGGCGCUGACGGGGGCCCCGCGUCCUCCGGGGACGUUGGGGACAUCGGGGGCCAGUCCCUCGGGUUGGGGACAUCGGGCCGCGAGGGGGCGUCUGUCCCGUGUGUCGGGGACAAUUGGGACGUCGGGGACAUCGGGUCACCGUGGGUCGCAGUCCUUUGGGUUGGGGACACUGGGGAUGUUGAGGACAUUGGGGAUGUUGGGGACAUCGGGGACAUCGAGGAUAUGGGGGACAUCAAGGACAUCAGGCCAUGACGGGUCUUCGUCCUUCAGGUUGGGGACAUUGGGGACGUUGGGGACAUUGGGGACGUUGUGGACAUCGGGUCAUGAUGGGUCUCAGUCCUUUCGGUUGGGGACAUCAGGGAUGUCGAGGACGUUGAGGACAUCGAGGACGUUGAGGACAUCGAGGACGUCGAGGACAUCAGGCCAUGACGGGUCUUGGUCCUUUGGGUUGGGGACAUCGGGGAUGUUGGGGACGUUGAGGACAUUGGGUCAUGGUGGAUCUUGGUCCUUUGGGUUGGGGUCACUGGGGACAUCGAGGACAUCAAGGAUGUUGAGGACACUGGGGACAUCAGGCCAUGACGGGUCUCGGUCCUUUGGGUUGGUGACAUCAGGAACGUUGGGGACAUUAAGGACGUCGAGGACGUUGGGGACAUCAGGACGUGGUGGAUCUUGGUCCUUUGGGCUGGGGACAUUGGGGACGUCGAGGACUUCAAGGACAUUGGGGACGUCGAGGAUAUCAGGCGAUGGUGGGUCUUCGUCCUUUGGGUUGGGGACAUCAGGGACAUCGGGGACAUCAGGUCAUGACGGGUCUCAGUCCUUUGGGUUGGGGACAUUGGGGACAUCAGGGACGUUGAGGACAUCGGGCCGUGAUGGAUCUCAGUCCUUCAGGUUGGGGACAUCGGGGACUUUGGGGACGUUGAGGACAUCAGGCCGUGACAGGUCUCAGUCCUUUGGGUUGGGGACAUCGGGGACAGCAGCUGCGAUGUGUCCCCAUCUGGUGCCAUGGGGACGUUGGGGACACGGAGCCACCGACGCGGUGACUGGGUGCCCUCGGGGACGUCGAGCUGUGGCGGGUGUCGGUCCCUCGGGGCUGGUGACGUCCCGCUGCGACGUGGCUUGGCGUCUUGGUCGGGGACGUUGGGGGAUGUUGGGGACACUGGGAGUUUUGGGGACACUGGGGAGUUUUGGGGACAUUUUGGGGUUUGGGGGACAUCGAGCCACAUCGUGCCUCGGUCCCCCUCCUUGGGGACACCCAUGGGUGGGGUGGGGGGNNNNNNNNNN